rnacentral:RNase_P_RNA from 1 species
GAAGCUGACCAGACAGUCGCCGCUUCGUCGUCGUCCUUUCGGGGAGACGGGCGGAGGGGAGGAAAGUCCGGGCUCCAUAGGGCAGGGUGCCAGGUAACUCCUGGGGGGGAAACCCACGACCAGUGCAACAGAGAGCAAACCGCCGAUGGCCCACGUAAGUGGGAUCAGGUAAGGGUGAAAGGGUGCGGUAAGAGCGCACCGCGCGGCUGGUAACAGUCCGUGGCACGGUAAACUCCACCCGGAGCAAGGCCAAAUAGGGGUUCAUAAGGUACGGCCCGUACUGAACCCGGGUAGGCUGCUUGAGCCAGUGAGCGAUUGCUGGCCUAGAUGAAUGACUGUCCACGACAGAACCCGGCUUAUCGGUCAGUUUCACUU